GACGAACGCUGGCGGCGUGCCUAAUACAUGCAAGUAGAACGCUGAAGAGAGGAGCUUGCUCUUCUUGGAUGAGUUGCGAACGGGUGAGUAACGCGUAGGUAACCUGCCUGGUAGCGGGGGAUAACUAUUGGAAACGAUAGCUAAUACCGCAUAAAAUUGAUUAUUGCAUGAUAAUUAAUUGAAAGAUGCAACUGCAUCACUACCAGAUGGACCUGCGUUGUAUUAGCUAGUUGGCGAGGUAACGGCUCACCAAGGCGACGAUACAUAGCCGACCUGAGAGGGUGAUCGGCCACACUGGGACUGAGACACGGCCCAGACUCCUACGGGAGGCAGCAGUAGGGAAUCUUCGGCAAUGGGGGGAACCCUGACCGAGCAACGCCGCGUGAGUGAAGAAGGGUUUCGGAUCGUAAAGCUCGGUUGUAAGAGAAGAACGGGUGUGAGAGUGGAAAGUUCACACUGUGACGGUAUCUUACCAGAAAGGGACGGCUAACUACGUG
rnacentral:rRNA from 1 species